AUUGAACGCUGGCGGCAGGCCUAACACAUGCAAGUCGAGCGGAUGAAGGGAGCUUGCUCCUGGAUUCAGCGGCGGACGGGUGAGUAAUGCCUAGGAAUCUGCCAGGUAGUGGGGGAUAACGUCCGGAAACGGGCGCUAAUACCGCAUACGUCCUGAGGGAGAAAGUGGGGGAUCUUCGGACCUCACGCUAUCAGAUGAGCCUAGGUCGGAUUAGCUAGUUGGUGGGGUAAAGGCCUACCAAGGCGACGAUCCGUAACUGGUCUGAGAGGAUGAUCAGUCACACUGGAACUGAGACACGGUCCAGACUCCUACGGGAGGCAGCAGCGGGGAAUAUUGGACAAUGGGCGAAAGCCUGAUCCAGCCAUGCCGCGUGUGUGAAGAAGGUCUUCGGAUUGUAAAGCACUUUAAGUUGGGAGGAAGGGCAGUAAGUUAAUACCUUGCUGUUUUGACGUUACCAACAGAAUAAGCACCGGCUAACUUCGUG
rnacentral:rRNA from 1 species